AUACAGAGGGUGCGAGCGUUAAUCGGAAUUACUGGGCGUAAAGCGCGCGUAGGCGGCUUGGUCAGUCGGAUGUGAAAGCCCCGGGCUCAACCUGGGAAUGGCAUUCGAUACUGCCAGGCUAGAGUAUGGGAGAGGGAAGUGGAAUUUCCGGUGUAGCGGUGAAAUGCGUAGACAUCGGAAGGAACACCAGUGGCGAAGGCGACUUCCUGGCCCAAUACUGACGCUGAGGUGCGAAAGCGUGGGGAGCGAACAGGAUUAGAUACCCUAGUAGUCC
rnacentral:rRNA from 1 species